UACGGAAGGGGCAAGCGUUGUUCGGAAUCAUUGGGCGUAAAGGGCGUGUAGGUGGUUCUGUAUGUCUACCGUGAAAGCGUACGGCUCAACCGUAUUUAGUCGGUAGAAACUGCAGGACUUGAGGCUGGGAGGGGCUGGUGGAAUUCCCCGUGUAGCGGUGAAAUGCGUAGAGAUGUGGAGGAACACCGAUGGCGAAGGCAGCCUCCUGGGCCAGCACUGACGCUCAUGCACGAAAGCGUGGGGAGCAAACAGG
rnacentral:rRNA from 1 species